CAACGAACAGCCUCCACCACCUCCCCUGCAAACGUCCAGUGACGCAGAGGUAAUGGACGUUAGCUCCGGUGGUGAUGGACAGUCAGAUACCC
ensembl:miRNA MIR1306 microRNA 1306